rnacentral:rRNA from 1 species
AGUGAACGCUGGCGGUAGGCCUAACACAUGCAAGUCGAAUGGCAGCACAGUAAGAGCUUGCUCUUACGGGUGGCGAGUGGCGGACGGGUGAGGAAUACAUCGGAAUCUACUUUUUCGUGGGGGAUAACGUAGGGAAACUUACGCUAAUACCGCAUACGACCUACGGGUGAAAGCAGGGGAUCUUCGGACCUUGCGCGAUUGAAUGAGCCGAUGUCGGAUUAGCUAGUUGGCGGGGUAAAGGCCCACCAAGGCGACGAUCCGUAGCUGGUCUGAGAGGAUGAUCAGCCACACUGGAACUGAGACACGGCCCAGACUCCUACGGGAGGCAGCAGUGGGGAAUAUUGGACAAUGGGCGCAAGCCUGAUCCAGCCAUACCGCGUGAGUGAAGAAGGCCUUCGGGUUGUAAAGCCCUUUUGUUGGGAAAGAAAAGCAGCAGGUUAAUACCCCGCUGUUCUGACGGUACCCAAAGAAUAAGCACCGGCUAACUUCGUG